rfam:Aspergillus clavatus NRRL 1 1099423829802 genomic scaffold, whole genome shotgun sequence.
GUCAGUGUGGCCGAGUGGUUAAGGCGAUAGCCUAGAACUUCCCAUGGGAAUCUGGAACAGCUAUUGGGUUCGCCCGCACAGGUUCGAGUCCUGUCGCUGACG